rnacentral:rRNA from 1 species
UACGGAGGAUCCGAGCGUUAUCCGGAUUUAUUGGGUUUAAAGGGUGCGUAGGCGGCUUAUUAAGUCAGUGGUGAAAGCCUGGAGCUUAACUCAGAACGGCCAAGUGAUACUGCAGUGCUAGAGUGUGGAAGGGGCAAUCGGAAUUCUUGGUGUAGCGGUGAAAUGCGUAGAUAUCAAGAGGAACACCUGAGGUGAAGACGGGUUGCUGGGCCAACACUGACGCUGAGGCGCGAAAGCCAGGGGAGCAAACGGG